GGCUCAGUUUGGUUUAGAGCGCUGGCUUUGGGAGUCAGAGGUCGCUGGUUCGAAUCCAUGCC
rnacentral:tRNA from 1 species